rnacentral:lncRNA from 1 species
CUCUGCAAGGCAGAAGACGAGCGGAGUGGCUGCAGCGCAUCGGACUAUCGGUAACCGAUCAGAGCCAGGAUAUGCGCGUUUGCGGCCGCCACUUUACGCCGGAGGAUUACAACUACAAUACCGUGCUCAUGCAGCGAUUGGGAGCCAGCACGCACAGAUUUCGUCUCAGAGACGAGGCCCUACCCUCUUUGUUCCUUCCCGUUGCAAAGGUAAGUUCACGAGCAAUACAGGUCGUUUGCUGCUUGUAGGGCACGAUAUCGGAACGAUGCUCUUUGGACACUACCGCACUGCUAUCUACAUCUUCAGACCAGCGGAAAAUUUUGGAGAAGUCCGCAGUGUAUAGCAAAUGGCAUGUUUCCUAUAUAUUGAGCGCAAAUAGGUCUACCCGAGCAAAUGAUUGAGCUCGCGGCCUCCAGGUAUACAGCGACCAGACUGCUAGGUUAUAGCAUGUCGAGCGGCAAGAGCUCGGCGUUCUAUAAAUAAUUGUAAAGUUCAUGGUUCAGAGAGUGGUCAAGCGUGUAAUCUAGCUGUGACAGUGCAUGUUAUGGGCUUUCACGCAUUUUUAGCAAGCGCAAAGCGCGCGAAGAAAACGGAAUUGUAUUGCGAAUGCGCCGAUGUGAAUGAAAUGAAAGCAGUGCAAUGCAUUGGUGUCCUUCAUGUGGUGCGCCGUGAAACAAUUUGCUGAUUUAAUUUCUUGCAGCGUCAUACCACACCUCGGGAAAGCGUGGCGGAGAGUGUCAAUGUCUUGAAAACCUUCGCCAGCCAGGAGCUCGUGCAGAGAUGUGUGUGCCAGACAGCCACAAGAAAAGCCACAAGAACAGUGGAAAUUCAGACAACACCAGAAUGCCAGUCUGUUGGUAAGCUGACCAAACAAGUCAGAAACAAUGCACAUUCUAUGCACAGGUGCAGAGUUGUUGUUUAUUGACAAAAUUUGCAUGGUAGUAGAAUAACAACAAAUAAUGUUCAUUAUAGAUAAGAAAUUAGGCACGUUAUCACUCAAACAUGUUUUGCUUACCCAACCGGUUUUAAUCCAACCACACAGGUGCACAUGACCACGAAAGUUGUGGUUUCCGUAGCGACACAGACCGAGCGUCCCUCCACCACAUGAACUGCAGUGCAGAAUGAGCGUGAAGCUGCAUCCCCUGAAUCCCAGAGAUAUACUGCAAUACAAGUUGCCCCACCACCAUUGAUCCCGCCUGAUUUCAGGCCUCUCCGUGGUUCAACGCCUCUGCCAAUGGGAGUGGACGACUCUUGUGCAGGUGAUGAAGACAAGCCAGCAGCUAAUGUGGACACCAGCUAUCUGCCAUCAUUCAGCGAGAGCUUCUGCAGUGCUCACCACGAGUGUUCAGAAGUCACUACACAGAUAGAAGAACCCUUGCAUACUGAACGGAAGUUCAUUGUUUUUGAGAGCUGCCUAAGGGAAUUGCUCACCACCUGCAAAGUCUGUGACUACGCUGUAGGCGACAUCAGUUCCAGGGUUGUGGGCACUUUGCUCAUAGCGGAGGGCAGGUGUGAUAAAGAACACUUGCUCCAGUGGAGGAGCCAGCCACUUGUGCGUGGGAGUGGAGCUGGAGCUGGAAACAUUCUUCUAGCAGCAGGAGUUCUAUUUUCUGGCUGUGCAGUGGCUGCGACAAUGCGGUGCCUAAAUUCUAUUGGCGUGCAGACCAUCACAGAACGGACCUUCUACAACUACCAGAGGGCCUACUUGCUGCCUGCUAUAAACGAGCUUUUCCACCGUCAGCAAGCUGAAGUGGCCAAUGAGCUUGCUGGCUUGCAAGUCGACCUGGCAGCUGAUGGGCGAUGUGACUCUCCAGGCUACAGUGCGAAGUACAUGACAUACAGUGCGCUUUCUAUGCAGAAUGGCUGCAUUCUGCACACAGAACAAGUGCAAGUUGGAGAGGUAAACCCAUAGUACUGCUAUUAGUAAGCAUAUUGUGUGAAUUCUUAUGAAACUAUCUGAUUUAUUUAUGCAGUCACCCGAAGUGCCUAACAGUGUUUGCAUGGAAAAAAAAAGGACUUGCCAAGUGCUUGGUGGGUGUCGAGAAGCUGGGCAUCAGGAUACGUUCACUGACAACAGACCGGCAUCCUGGUGUCACCCGAUACUGCCGUGUGGAAAGGCCAGACAUAAAGGACUUGUUUGAUGUUUGGCAUGUUGCUAAAGGUCUGAAAAAAAAGCUCCUGGCAGCCAGCUGCAAACAUCUAGUUAUCAGACCAUGGAUCCAGGUUAUCCUAACCCACCUCUACUGGGUGGUUGCGAUGGGCCAAGGCGAUGAAGAGCUUGUUGUUAGCAUGUGGAGAAGCCUCCUCAACCAUGUGUGCAACAAACACGAUGGCCACGAUGGACCCUACAAAAAUGCCUCCACGACUCCCUUGACGAUAGGGAAUGGUUGAGGCCAACAUCGCCUGCAUUUAUUCGUCUUAAGAGCAUUGUGCACAACACGAGAUUAGUGCGAGAUAUCUACCGGCUCUCGCCCGAGGGGCAAACAUUCUCGUUGGAGUCCUUCCACAGCGUGCUGAAUCGGUUUGCUCCAAAGUCCAAUGCCUACUCAGAGGACGGAAUGCAAGAGAGCACGAGGCUCGCUGUGCUCCACUUCAAUGAGAAUGCUGCACGGCACCAAGCACUCACUCGGGAUGGAGAGCAGCGUUGAAAAAUUAUAUCCUCCAAGGCGAGGCGAGGCCACUUCACUGUGACCACAGUGAAAGAGGAUCCAAGCUAUGGCUACAUUGAUAAUCUGAUGCAAGAUGUCCUGGAGCGCUGCGAACAUUCAUCAUAUAAGGAGAGCUUUCUGAGCUGUGAGCAGUCUCCACCAUGCCAUAUGUCGCACGGUUUUGAAAGACCUUCAAAGCAGGAGCUCAUUGAACAAAGGCGCACCCGCUUCCCCACGGCAUCAACACAAAGCAAUGGCACCUAGACAGCCACCACUGUUUGUGUGAACUGGGCGAAUCCUAAUGCUCUCAGGCAGCCAUAAAAACUCGGCCAGUCAAGAGAGCUUUCGAGACCACAUGAAAGCACUAAUCAAGUGUACACACACAUCUGUAAUGCAGUUGCAAUGAUUUAUUUCAUCGAAACCAAUGCCUGCAUGGUCAAGUAUGCACUGAUCUGUUCAGAGCACACACAUGAAGAGAACCACUCGGCUAAGCGAAGUCGGGAAGCCACCUUUACUUGGGGCAGCAUAAAAGACUUGGCAUGUCAAGGGAGAGUUACAGACCACUGCAUCGGCUUAAAAACUUCAAAAUGUAGUCAAACUACACCCUGCUACCUUGCGCCGCCAUGAGAGGGCAAUACGUGUGCGUGGUAUCGUUAUCAGCCGCUGCAAGGUUGUAGUGACUUCUGUCAUCUACUACAGGGGUCACGAAUCCACAUCCAAAGCUCGAUAGCACCUCUAGCACCUCUGCAAACCUGCUGCCAUGCCCUUGCAUUUGUUCACGCAGGGGCAUAGGUUUGGACUUCAGUCAGCUUCAGUCACUGCAAUGUUGACCUCGCCUUUUGUGCGACUAGCUGCCGCGUCGGACGCAGUGCGACUCCGGCCUGUAGUGGAUUCGCGAUGCAACGGCGGGCUUGAAGCCCAACAGUAUUUUUAAGUGUUUUUGAAACCGUACACGGCAGGAAUUCCGUGCUUCGUGCCUUCGAAGAAAGGGGACAAGUUCGGAUUCUUGCACCAUGUGUGCCUGUGAUGUGAACAUUUCGUACGGCAGCAAGUCUGACAUCAAGGUCCACAUCGCUUUGAAAAAGCAUCAGGGAUACAGCCAGCCAAGCCUAGCAAGUUUUUUAUGCAGCGACAACGACCUCGGUGUGAUUCGUGCAGAAUGCCUCUUCACGGCGUUUUUAGUUGAACACAACAUCCCACUGCACAACAUCCCGCUGAGUGUCAGCGAUCAUGCCGGACUGCAUUUCCGGAAGAUGUUCCCCAAGUGCGAAGAAGCGAAACGCUACGCCUGUGGACGAACAAAGAAGACGUCAAUUGUUUGGGAAAGGCUGGAUGUCCUGAAACAGCAAGUAUUUUCGAUCGCUGUGGACGGUAGUAACAAUAGGGAUACACAGCUUUACCCUAUUGUUGCGACAUAUUUCGUUAAGAAACGGGUAGAGUCGAAAGCCACCUGUUUUGCCUCAGGACAAUCCGAGGGAAAGCAUACUGCCAUAUUACUUCUCUUAGGAGGUCAAGAAGCCAUAGAUGUCUUCAAUACGUUCCAUUUCACACUGGCUGAACAGGAGGGCUACGAUGCACAUUCACCAGUUCAAUGUGUACUGCGAACCACAACGUAACAAAGCAUUUGAAAUGAGUGUCUUCCGCACACCUGGAUGCAGCAUGAGGGUAACUGUUCGAACAAUCUUCAUGCAAGGUGUAGCUGAAAGUACAAUCGUUUAAUUUUGGUGAACUGAAAGAUUCCAUGUCGCACGACCAGCUUGUCUGUGGCACCACGGACAGGAAGCUAAAAGCAUGCUUGUUGCAUGAAAAGGCGUUGAUGUUAAGGAAAGACAUUGACUUCUGCAAGGUGGUUGAGAUCGCAUUGAGCCAGACUUGUGUUUGGGACCAUGUCGACAAGGGACGAGACAGUAAAAAGAAAGCCAAAGCUCCGCAUUACUGUGGGUGCUGUGACAGAAGCCACCCACUAAAAUGGUGCUCGGUGGGGAGAAAGACUUGUGGAAUCUGCCAAUAUGAAGCCACUUAGCUGCUUGCUGUAGAUUGUGCCCAAGUGUGCAAGGGGCAGAGCGACCAAACAAGGAUACCAAAAAACUACUUCCAAUAUAUGUCAGUAUACACAGCGGGCAUCUACAGCUCACAUGACUGUUUCCUGAGCACAAAGGAUGGCGAAAAAAAAUUUAUGUCAACGUGGACACAUCACUUCAGCUGAAUGUCUCACCAUUCUAGCUAUACCAGAUUGAAAUCGAUGGUACGUCUAUGUCAAACACCCUGCUCACGAGGCAUAGAAGUGUCAUACAGCACUUGGGUACUGUUACGUAGGUGCUUCAAGCGGACUUCGUGCACAAGGCCAGUUUGUCCAUCAUGUAGAAAGGGAAACAGGAGCUGCUAAGGUUGGCUGCAUGCAAAACAGUUGGACUGGUGCAGUGUGUUCACAAUGUCCGAGCCUGCAAGAACCCCAAGCAAUAGAUCACUGACGAAUUCUCAAAGCUGUUCAUUGCGCACUUCAAGUACACAUGCUCGAUCAAUUUCAAAGAAGGUACUGAACCAAUGGCUGUGCGCCCGAGGAGAGAGCCUCAACCAUUCAAGAAACCCAUGUGUGCCGAGUUGCAGCGAAUGGAGGUGGAAGGCGUCAUAGCCAAAACCGAAGCCCCAUUGCAUUCGGUGAAUCCGUUGGUCAUACAGAUGAAUCCUGCUACAACGAAAUUGGUGGGGCGCACGAAAUAGUUCGUCGUGGAAACUCAUUGUCAUGACAUUAGAAAAUACAUAGGUGACUGGUGACACGUGACUCGCAGACGCAAAA